CGCUGGCGGUGUGCCUAACACAUGCAAGUCGCACGAGAAAGGGGAGCAAUCCCUGAGUACAGUGGCGCACGGGUGAGUAACACGUGACUAAUCUACCCUCGAGUGGGGAAUAACUGAGAGAAAUCUUAGCUAAUACCGCAUAACACUUACGAGUCAAAGCAGCAAUGCGCUUGGGGAGGAGGUCGCGGCCGAUUAGCUAGUUGGCGGGGUAAAGGCCCACCAAGGCGAUGAUCGGUAUCCGGCCUGAGAGGGCGCACGGACACACUGGAACUGAAACACGGUCCAGACUCCUACGGGAGGCAGCAGUGGGGAAUUUUGCGCAAUGGGGGAAACCCUGACGCAGCAACGCCGCGUGGAGGAUGAAGUAUCUUGGUACGUAAACUCCUUUCGAUGGGGAAGAUAAUGACGGUACCCAUAGAAGAAGCCCCUGCUAACUUCGUGCCAGCAGCCGCGGUAAUACGAGGGGGGCAAGCGUUGUUCGGAUUUAUUGGGCGUAAAGGGUGCGUAGGCGGUUUGGCAAGUCUUAUGUGAAAUCUUCGGGCUCAACCCGAAGCCUGCAUAAGAAACUGCCGGGCUUGAGUAUUGGAGAGGUGAGUGGAAUUUCCGGUGUAGCG
rnacentral:rRNA from 1 species